rnacentral:rRNA from 1 species
UAAAGAAUUUCGGUAUGGGAUGGGGAUGCGUUCCAUUAGUUAGUUGGCGGGGUAACGGCCCACCAAGACAACGAUGGAUAGGGGUUCUGAGAGGAAGGUCCCCCACAUUGGAACUGAGACACGGUCCAAACUCCUACGGGAGGCAGCAGUGAGGAAUAUUGGUCAAUGGACGAGAGUCUGAACCAGCCAAGUAGCGUGAAGGAUGACUGCCCUAUGGGUUGUAAACUUCUUUUAUAUGGGAAUAAAACGUUUCACGUGUGGGAUUUUGUAUGUACCAUAUGAAUAAGGAUCGGCUAACUCCGUGCCAGCAGCCGCGGUAAUACGGAGGAUCCGAGCGUUAUCCGGAUUUAUUGGGUUUAAAGGGAGCGUAGGUGGAUUGUUAAGUCAGUUGUGAAAGUUUGCGGCUCAACCGUAAAAUUGCAGUUGAAACUGGCAGUCUUGAGUACAGUAGAGGUGGGCGGAAUUCGUGGUGUAGCGGUGAAAUGCUUAGAUAUCACGAAGAACUCCGAUUGCGAAGGCAGCUCACUGGACUGCAACUGACACUGAGGCUCGAAAGUGUGGGUAUCAAACAGGAUUAGAUACCCUGGUAGUCCACACAGUAAACGAUGAAUACUCGCUGUUUGCGAUAUACGGCAAGCGGCCA